rnacentral:rRNA from 1 species
GACAGAGGGGGCAAGCGUUGCUCGGAAUCACUGGGCGUAAAGGGCGCGUAGGCGGGAUGGCAAGUCGGUCGUGAAAUCCUUCGGCUCAACCGAAGAACGUCGGCCGAUACUGCCGUUCUUGAGGGAUGCAGAGGAGAUUGGAAUUCCAGGUGUAGCGGUGAAAUGCGUAGAUAUCUGGAGGAAUACCGGUGGCGAAGGCGGCAUCCUGGACCGAUAUUGACACUGAGGAGCGAAAGCUAGGGGAGCAAACGGG